AAUGCUGACAUGAGUAACGACAAAGGGGGUGAAAAACCCCCUCGCCGGAAGACCAAGGUUUCCUGCCCCAUGCUAAUCAGGGCAGGGUUAGUCGGCCCCUAAGGUGAGGCUGAAAAGCGUAAUCGAUGGGAAACGGGUUAAUAUUCCCGUACUUGUUGUAACUGCGAUGGAGGGACGGAGUAGGCUAGGCGAGCGCAGCGUUGGUUGUCUGCGUUUAAGCUAGUAGGCUGAGAUCUUAGGCAAAUCCGGGAUCUUAAGGCUGAGAGGUGAUGACGAGUCCUCUUUUGGACGAAGUCGUUGAUGCCAUGCUUCCAAGAAAAUCUUCUAAGCUUCAGGUUACAACAAACCGUACCCCAAACCGACACAGGU
rnacentral:rRNA from 1 species